rnacentral:misc_RNA from 1 species
GAUGAAGAACGCAGCGAAAUGCGAUACGUAGUGUGAAUUGCAGAAUUCAGUGAAUCAUCGAAUCUUUGAACGCACAUUGCGCCCUUUGGUAUUCCAAAGGGCAUGCCUGUUCGAGCGUCAUUUGUACCCUCAAGCUUUGCUUGGUGUUGGGCGUCUUUUGUCUCCAGUUCGCUGGAGACUCGCCUUAAAGUCAUUGGCAGCCGGCCUACUGGUUUCGGAGCGCAGCACAAGUCGCGCUCUUAGCCAGCCAAGGUCAGCGUCCAGCAAGCCUUUUUUCAACCUUUGACCUCGUAUCAGGUAGGGAUACCCGCUGAACUUAAGCAUAUCAAUAAGCGGAGGA